GGAACUGUUGAUGAAGAUAUCUAUGACGACGUAAAAACUGUGCUUUAUACUGACAGUGCUGUUUGUGGUUUCCUGUUUGAACCUUGUACUUACACUCUGUAAAUUAUCUUAAAUUAGCAUGAUAGUUAUUUAUUUAAUAUUUUUCUCAAUUAACCACAAGAUGAGUAUUAUCUCAUCAACUUUGCUAUUGUUUCAGCUCAGAAGCGGUUAAUUUUGUUAGGAAUCAGCUUCGGCAACAUGGAGAUGUUCAGCUUGUGAGGCGCUUGGAAGAGCAGCUCUGGUAAUGGAUGCAUGGAUGUUUAUUUUUCUUGCACAAUGCUUGAUCAUACCUGCAAAUUUAUCUAUAUUACAGGACCGACGUUCACAAGAUAAUGUCAGCAUCAUCAUUGUUGAUUUGGGGAGGACAAAUUGGCAAAGUUUGCCUCGUUCAGAAAGAAAAUUUUGUUUAUGAACUGGGCCAAGCUUUUGCUACUAUCGGUAUUGUGUCAUUAGGAGUAUGGAUGUCUUCUCUGCUUUCUGCAUGAGUUCUCAAGCCUGACUUUGUAAAUAAAUCCUCACGGAUUUCUAAUAUAUUUUGUGUCUAGAUAUAUUCUGCAAUUGUACAAGUAUCACAUCUUAUUGCAUUGUUUUUUAUUUUUAAUUUUGUU